GGGGCUGCAACGGUCUCGACGGGGAUGAUGAAACUCGAGCAGCGGGUAGUGCCGAACAACACUUUAAACUAUUCAAACUUUAAAUAUAAACGCUAACAAAACAGAAUUAGCUUACGCUGCCUAAUUGCGGCGUUGUCGCCAUUAUGAGUACCACGGCAUAAUCUGCGGCAUCAUUUUAUGUGGUGAACGUGAAUAAUUGAGGGUUCUCGGCAAUUAUCACGGAUUAGAGGACUACCGUAAUCCUUACUUCGGCUGCGGAGAUAGAUUACGGGUAUUUUAAGCGCAGCCUGCACCCGGAGAAGCUUUGGCGGACUUGUUUUCGGACGGGAGUUCGAUUCUCCCCAGCUCCACCA
rnacentral:tmRNA from 1 species